ACCUUUCAAAUCAGGGUGCGGCGCGGCCCCCGAGGAGCGGAAACAAUCCUUGGGAGGUAUGCGGGGGCUUCGAGCCCCCCAUUUACGCACGCACGACUGCCAUCCUUACUUUACGAGCACCUUCUGUUCUCCCUCGGCGGGGCAACCUGCCGUUGGAACCGAAUAAACUCUUUAUGCAUCUAGCAUUACCUGUUCCGAAACAAACAAUCGUUA
rnacentral:misc_RNA from 1 species